UACGUAGGGUGCAGGCGUUAAUCGGAAUUACUGGGCGUAAAGCGUGCGCAGGCGGUUUGCUAAGACAGGUGUGAAAUCCCCGGGCUUAACCUGGGAACUGCGCUUGUUACUGGCAAGCUGGAGUGUGGCAGAGGGGGGUAGAAUUCCACGUGUAGCAGUGAAAUGCGUAGAGAUGUGGAGGAACACCGAUGGCGAAGGCAGCCCCCUGGGUCAAGACUGACGCUCAUGCACGAAAGCGUGGGGAGCAAACAGG
rnacentral:rRNA from 1 species